AGGGAUGUGGCUCAGAGGUAGAGAAUUCGCUUUACAAACAGAGGGUUUCAGGUUCAAUUCCCAGCAUCUCCA